CUGGUAGUCCACGCCGUAAACGAUGUCGACUUGGAGGUUGUUCCCUUGAGGAGUGGCUUCCGGAGCUAACGCGUUAAGUCGACCGCCUGGGGAGUACGGCCGCAAGGUUAAAACUCAAAUGAAUUGACGGGGGCCCGCACAAGCGGUGGAGCAUGUGGUUUAAUUCGAUGCAACGCGAAGAACCUUACCUACUCUUGACAUCCAGCGAACUUAGCAGAGAUGCUUUGGUGCCUUCGGGAACGCUGAGACAGGUGCUGCAUGGCUGUCGUCAGCUCGUGUUGUGAAAUGUUGGGUUAAGUCCCGCAACGAGCGCAACCCUUAUCCUUUGUUGCCAGCGAUUCGGUCGGGAACUCAAAGGAGACUGCCGGUGAUAAACCGGAGGAAGGUGGGGAUGACGUCAAGUCAUCAUGGCCCUUACGAGUAGGGCUACACACGUGCUACAAUGGCGCAUACAAAGAGAAGCGACCUCGCGAGAGCAAGCGGACCUCACAAAGUGCGUCGUAGUCCGGAUCGGAGUCUGCAACUCGACUCCGUGAAGUCGGAAUCGCUAGUAAUCGUGGAUCAGAAUGCCACGGUGAAUACGUUCCCGGGCCUUGUACACACCGCCCGUCACACCAUGGGAGUGGGUUGCAAAAGAAGUAGGUAGCUUAACCUUCGGGAGGGCGCUUACCACUUUGUGAUUCAUGACUGGGGUGAA
rnacentral:rRNA from 1 species